rnacentral:rRNA from 1 species
AUUGAACGCUGGCGGCAGGCCUAACACAUGCAAGUCGAACGAGUGGCGGAAGGGUGAGUACUGUCUGGGCAACUGCCUGAUCGAUGGGGAUAACUACUGGACACGGUAGCUACUACCGCAUACCAUCGGAUGUGCCCAGAUGGGAUGAGCUAGUAGGGGGGUUAAAGGCUUACCUAGGCGACGAUACCUAGCUGGUCUGAGAGGAUGACCAGCCAGAAUGUAACUGAGACACGGUCCAGACUCCGACGGGAGUCAGCAGUGGGGAAUAGUGCACAAUGGGCGCAAGCCUGAUGCAGCCAUGCCGCGUGUAUGAAGAAGUCCUUCGGGUUGUAAAGUACUUUCAGCGGGGAGGCGUUACACGCAGAAGAAGCACCGGCUAACUCCGUGCCAGCAGCCGCGGUAAUAC